CAGAAUUAAAUUUUAUUAAAAGCAUGAUUCUGUUCCAGAGUUACCAGUUUUUAGAAAUGUUUUACAGCACAAGCAUUACCACCACUCCUAAAUGAAUAUUUGGGUUAGCGGAAACUAACACGAUAAAGUUAAAUUCUGUGUUAAAGGUGACUGCAUAUAGUAAUAUCAAACACUGCCCUCACUUUGCUGUUCAAGAGUGUUUUGAAAUUCUAUGACUCCAAGCCACUUUUAAAAAUUU
rnacentral:lncRNA from 1 species